CCUACGGGAGGCUGCAGUCGGGAAUUUUGGGCAAUGGGCGCAAGCCUGACCCAGCAACGCCGCGUGAAGGAUGAAAUCCCUCGGGAUGUAAACUUCACAAGAUCGGGAAGAAUAAGGCCUGGUAAAUAACCAGCGCCGAUGACGGUACUGAUUGUAAGCUCCGGCUAACUCCGUGCCAGCAGCCGCGGUAAUACGGGGGGAGCAAGCGUUGUUCGGAUUUACUGGGCGUAAAGGGCGCGUAGGCGGCGCGACAAGUCACUUGUGAAAUCUCCGGG
rnacentral:rRNA from 1 species